UACGUAGGGAGCAAGCGUUGUUCGGAAUUACUGGGCGUAAAGGGCUCGUAGGCGGCCAACUAAGUCCGACGUGAAAUCCCAAGGCUUAACUUUGGAACUGCGUCGGAUACUGGAUGGCUUGAAUUCGGGAGAGGGAUGCAGAAUUCCAGGUGUAGCGGUGAAAUGCGUAGAUAUCUGGAGGAAUACCGGUGGCGAAGGCGGCAUCCUGGACCGACAUUGACGCUGAGGAGCGAAAGCUAGGGGAGCAAACGGG
rnacentral:rRNA from 1 species